ACUAAGUCAGAGGUGAAAACCCAUGGCUAAACUGUGGGAUAGCAACUGAAACUAGAGAUCUUGAGUACUGGAGAGGGAAGCGGAAUUCCUAGUGUAGCGGUGAAAUGCGUAGAUAUUAGGAGGAACACCAGUGGCGAAGGCGGCUUCCUGGACAGAGACUGACACUGAGGCGCGAAAGCGUGGGGAGCGAACAGGAUUAGAUACCCUGGUAGUCCACGCUGUAAACGAUGGAUACUAGGUGUAGGUGGUAAGAAACCAUCUGUGCCGGAGUAAACACAAUAAGUAUCCCACCUGGGGAGUACAGCCGCAAGGUUGAAACUCAAAGGAAUUGACGGGGGCCCGCACAAGCAGUGGAGUAUGUGGUUUAAUUCGAAGCAACGCGAAGAACCUUACCAGGGCUUGACAUCCCUUGAACUAUCUAGAGAUAGGUAGGGCCUACGGGACAAGGAGACAGGUGGUGCAUGGUUGUCGUCAGCUCGUGUCGUGAGAUGUUGGGUUAAGUCCCGCAACGAGCGCAACCCUUAUAGCUAGUUGCCAGCAAUAAGAUGGGGACUCUAGCGAGACAGCCGUUGAGAAAACGGAGGAAGGAAAGGAUGACGUCAAAUCAUCAUGCCCCUUAUGCUCUGGGCUACACACGUACUACAAUGGCUACUACAGAGGGAAGCGAAGCCAGGAGGCGGAGCAAAUCUCAAAAAGGUAGUCCCAGUUCAGAUUGUAGGCUGAAACUCGCCUGCAUGAAGUAGGAAUUGCUAGUAAUUGCAGGUCAGAAUACUGCAGUGAAUACGUUCCCGGGCANUUGUACACACCGCCCGUCACACCAUGAGAGUCUGCAACACCCGAAGUCAGUAGUUUAACCGAAAGGAGACACUGCCGAAGGUGGGGUAGUGAUUGGGGUGAAGUCGUAA
rnacentral:rRNA from 1 species